UACGAAGGGGGCUAGCGUUGUUCGGAAUCACUGGGCGUAAAGGGCGCGUAGGCGGCUUUAUAAGUCGGGGGUGAAAGCCUGUGGCUCAACCACAGAAUUGCCUUCGAUACUGUAGAGCUUGAGACCGGAAGAGGUAAGUGGAACUGCGAGUGUAGAGGUAAAAUUCGUAGAUAUUCGCAAGAACACCGGUGGCGAAGGCGGCGUUCUGGACUGUUACUGACACUGAGGAACGAAAGCCAGGGGAGCAAACGGG
rnacentral:rRNA from 1 species